rnacentral:rRNA from 1 species
UACGAAGGGGGCUAGCGUUGUUCGGAAUUACUGGGCGUAAAGGGCGCGCAGGCGGUCGCUCAAGUCAGGCGUGAAAGCCCCGGGCUCAACCUGGGAAUAGCGCUUGAGACUGAGCGACUUGAGUUCGGGAGAGGAGAGCGGAAUUCCCAGUGUAGAGGUGAAAUUCGUAGAUAUUGGGAAGAACACCGGUGGCGAAGGCGGCGUCCUGGACCAACACUGACACUGAGGAGCGAAAGCCAGGGGAGCAAACGGG